rnacentral:rRNA from 1 species
UACAGAGGGGGCAAGCGUUGUUCGGAAUUACUGGGCGUAAAGGGCGCGUAGGCGGCCUUCUAAGUCGAACGUGAAAUCCCCGGGCUUAACCCGGGAACUGCGUCCGAUACUGGAAGGCUUGAAUCCGGGAGAGGGAUGCGGAAUUCCAGGUGUAGCGGUGAAAUGCGUAGAUAUCGGGAGGAACACCAGUGGCGAAGGCGACUACCUGGCCUGUUCUUGACGCUGAGGCGCGAAAGCUAGGGGAGCAAACGGG